ACUAUGCAGACGGGGCUCCCCACCCACCCUCCUGUCCCAACCACUAUAGAUCCCAGCCAGUGCGCCCCGCGACCCUCCCAGGAGAAGCUGCCCCGGGACCACUGCGUCCCGGUAUCAAGAGGACAGAAAGUCUCUCUGUGCCUCCUUUUGGAAGGGUUUCUGCCCUCGGGGUUGUUACGGGACAGAAACGGUUUUAUCUGAAACUAGCCCUUCUCGCACACUCAUGGUUUGCAGAACUCCGAACCUCGCCGCCUAGAUCUCCACCUGCGCAAAACCAAAGGGCGGAUUCUCCUCCCUGGGGUGAGAACGGGAGACUCAUUCCUCCUGCACUGGGAGAAAGCGACUCUUCAGGAGGAGGACAGGGAAGCUAAUGCUACCCUGGAUUCUAGAACAGUCCUAGAGAAGCAGUGAGCCAGCCUCAGGCGAGAACGCCCAGGCGCAGGUGGAUGGCCGCAGGUCAGGCCUACUUUUCCUACACCUGUUGCUGGGGCGCAUUUCCACAGCCACUCUCAGCCCACGGUGCCUGUCACCGCCAGGCAGCCCUGCCAGGCAUGAGGACACCAAACCCACCUAUAUCUCAACUAAAAUCCAUCCAGCAUCAAGAUUUCCACAUCUGAGCUUACACCUUUAACCUACAGGCCACAGCAAAGAGGGCUUUGGAGAAAGGGAAGCACAGAGGUAGCAUGGACAAGCCUCAAUUAACCACUCCUGUCGCAGCACACCCACCUCCCCAGACACGGUGCACAGUGGUCCCUCAGGAAGCCUUUCUUGAGUCCUGCAUUUAACCACAGAGGCCCAGAGGCCCAGAGGCCCAGACAUGGUGGUGACUGCCUGCUCAGCCUGUCCCCACCAUUUUUUUUUUUCCCGAGACAGAGUCUCACUCUGUUGCCCAGGCUGGAGUA